AGCGAACGCUAGCGGCAGGCCUAACACAUGCAAGUCGAACGAAGUCUUCGGACUUAGUGGCGGACGGGUGAGUAACACGUGGGAACGUGCCUUUAGGUUCGGAAUAACUCAGGGAAACUUGUGCUAAUACCGAAUGUGCCCUUCGGGGGAAAGAUUUAUCGCCUUUAGAGCGGCCCGCGUCUGAUUAGCUAGUUGGUGAGGUAAAGGCUCACCAAGGCGACGAUCAGUAGCUGGUCUGAGAGGAUGAUCAGCCACAUUGGGACUGAGACACGGCCCAAACUCCUACGGGAGGCAGCAGUGGGGAAUCUUGCGCAAUGGGCGAAAGCCUGACGCAGCCAUGCCGCGUGAAUGAUGAAGGUCUUAGGAUUGUAAAAUUCUUUCACCGGGGACGAUAAUGACGGUACCCGGAGAAGAAGCCCCGGCUAACUUCGUGCCAGCCGCCGCUGUAAAAC
rnacentral:rRNA from 1 species